CAAAGGCUGAGUUUGGCUCUUCAGAAGAUGUUCAGAGAUGGAAGAGAGAGAAAGGGCUGGUGUGAGGUCAAGGACAGGGAAAACUGUUGCUGAAAACUGCUGGUUUCUGCUAGAAAUGAAAGCAAUGAGAAGAGACCUCAUCGCUCUCUGCAGCUCAUGGAAGAUACUCUUCUGCAUCUGAGUGGUGGUUUUGCACUUGUAGAAACCAAGAAGGAGUGGGCAUUUUUCCCUGCACUCAGCACUGGUGAAGCUGUACCUCGAAUCCUGGGUUCAGUUUUGGGCCCCUCACUCCAAGAAAGACCUUCAGAGACAGCAACGGCAACCCCAGCCUCCAUGGCAACAGCUGAGCCCUUUCCAGAGGCAGGAGGUGCUGCCUCCCCACCGUACGCUCCUUCUUUCUGUUCCACAUCUUAAUUUCUUCCCAACUUUCCUGUGCAGCAGCCAUGGCCAGCUGAGAGGAGAGCAUGGAUCAUGGCCCUGAGGUAAUGCCAACUUUAUCAGUGUUGGGUUG